GGGACAGUUAAUAGGUCAGUGGUAGGGCAUCUGUUUUGCAUGCAGAAGAUCCCAGGAUCAAUACCUGGUUUUCCCA